UUUAAUAUGGCAGAAUAGUGCAAUGAACUUAAAAUUCAUAUAUAAAUAAAUAUUAUUUUAUUAAAA
rnacentral:tRNA from 1 species